GCGGGGCGUGGUGGCGCGUACCUGUAGUCCCAGCUACUCGGGAGGCCGAGGUGGGAGGAUCACUUUGAGCCCAGGAGUUCUGGGCUGCAGUGCGCUAUGCUGAUGUGGUGUCUGCACUAAUUUCGGCAUCAAUAUGGUGACUUCCAGGGAGCGGGGGACCAGCAGGUUGCCUAAGGAGGGGUGAACCGGCCCAGGUCAAAAACAGAGCAGGUCAAAACUCCCGUGCUAAUCAGUAAUGAGAUCGUGCCUGUGAAUAGCCACUGCACUCCCGCCUGGGCAACAUAGCGAGACCCCAUGUCUU
ensembl:misc_RNA Metazoa_SRP Metazoan signal recognition particle RNA